GCGGCCGUGGCGCAGCAGGUUGACGCGAUCGGUUUAGGUCCGAUUUGUCCUUUUGGACUAGGUGGGUUCGAAUCCCAUCGGCCGCA
rnacentral:tRNA from 1 species